rnacentral:rRNA from 1 species
CCCCCAAACUCCUACCGGAGGCAGCAGUAAGGAUCUCACAUGACGCAAGUUCGAUGAGCACGCCGCGUGAGGGAGAGCUUCGGGUCGUAAACUCUGUGUGAGAGAUGGUCGGCAGAGUAACUGUGCCGCGUGACGGUAUCCAACCAGAAAGCACGGCUAACUACGUGCCAGCAGCCGCGGUAAUACGUAGGUGGCAAGCGUUAUCCGGAUUUAUUGGGCGUAAAGCGAGCGCAGGCGGUUUUUUAAGUCUGAUGUGAAAGCCCUCGGCUUAACCGAGGAAGCGCAUCGGAAACUGGGAAACUUGAGUGCAGAAGAGGACAGUGGAACUCCAUGUGUAGCGGUGAAAUGCGUAGAUAUAUGGAAGAACACCAGUGGCGAAGGCGGCUGUCUGGUCUGUAACUGACGCUGAGGCUCGAAAGCAUGGGUAGCGAACAGGAUUAGAUACCCUGGUAGUCCAUGCCGUAAACGAUGAAUGCUAGGUGUUGGAGGGUUUCCGCCCUUCAGUGCCGCAGCUAACGCAUCAAGCAUUCCGCCUGGGGAGUACGACCGCAAGGUUGAAACUCAAAGGAAUUGACGGGGGCCCGCACAAGCGGUGGAGCAUGUGGUUUAAUUCGAAGCAACGCGAAGAACCUUACCAGGUCUUGACAUCUUUUGAUCACCUGAGAGAUCAGGUUUCCCCUUCGGGGGCAAAAUGACAGGUGGUGCAUGGUUGUCGUCAGCUCGUGUCGUGAGAUGUUGGGUUAAGUCCCGCAACGAGCGCAACCCUUAUGACUAGUUGCCAGCAUUUAGUUGGGCACUCUAGUAAGACUGCCGGUGACAAACCGGAGGAAGGUGGGGAUGACGUCAAAUCAUCAUGCCCCUUAUGACCUGGGCUACACACGUGCUACAAUGGAUGGUACAACGAGUUGCGAGACCGCGAGGUCAAGCUAAUCUCUUAAAGCCAUUCUCAGUUCGGACUGUAGGCUGCAACUCGCCUACACGAAGUCGGAAUCGCUAGUAAUCGCGGAUCAGCACGCCGCGGUGAAUACGUUCCCGGGCCUUGUACACACCGCCCGUCACACCAUGAGAGUUUGUAACACCCGAAGCCGGUGGCGUAACCCUUUUAGGGAGCGAGCCGUCUAAGGUGGGACAAAUGAUUAGGGUGUAGUCGAACAACGUGGCCUCC